rnacentral:rRNA from 1 species
CCCUUAGAUGUCCUGGGCCGCACGCGCGCUACACUGAUGCAUUCAACGAGUUCUACCUUGGCCGAGAGGCCUGGGCAAUCUUUUGAACCUGCAUCGUGAUAGGGAUAGAUUAUUGCAAUCAUUAAUCUUGAACGAGGAAUUCCUAGUAAACGCAGAUCAUCAAUCUGCAUUGAUUACGUCCCUGCCCUUUGUACACACCGCCCGUCGCACCUACCGAUUGAAUGGUCCGGUGAAGCCUCGGGAUUGUGGCGAGUUCCCUUUAUUGGGAGUUUGUCGCGAGAACUUGUCUAAACCUUAUCAUUUAGAGGAAGGUGAAGUCGUAACA